ACCAGACUCCUACGGGAGGCAGCAGUGGGGAAUAUUGCACAAUGGGGGGAACCCUGAUGCAGCGACGCCGCGUGAGUGAGGAAGUAUUUCGGUAUGUAAAGCUCUAUCAGCAGGGAAGAUAAUGACGGUACCUGACUAAGAAGCCCCGGCUAACUACGUGCCAGCAGCCGCGGUAAUACGUAGGGGGCAAGCGUUAUCCGGAUUUACUGGGUGUAAAGGGUGCGUAGGUGGCAGGGCAAGUCAGAUGUGAAAGCCCGGGGCCCAACCCCGGUACUGCAUUUGAAACUGUCCGGCUGGAGUGCAGGAGAGGUAAGCGGAAUUCCUAGUGUAGCGGUGAAAUGCGUAGAUAUUAGGAGGAACACCAGUGGCGAAGGCGGCUUACUGGACUGUAACUGACGUUGAGGCUCGAAAGCGUGGGGAGCAAACAGGAUUAGAUACCCUCGUACC
rnacentral:rRNA from 1 species